rnacentral:rRNA from 1 species
GGCGGCGUGCCUAAUACAUGCAAGUCGAACGGAAGUUUAAGCAAUUAAACUUUAGUGGCGAACGGGUGAGUAACGCGUAAGCAAUCUGGGGGUGAGACAAGGAUAACAGUUGGAAACGACUGCUAAGACUGGAUAGGAGAUAAGAAGGCAUCUUUUUAUUUUUAAAAGACCUAGCAAUAGGUAUGCUUAGGGAAGAGCUUGCGUCACAUUAGUUAGUUGGUGGGGUAAUGGCCUACCAAGACGAUGAUGUGUAGCCGGGCUGAGAGGUCGAACGGCCACAUUGGGACUGAGACACGGCCCAAACUCCUACGGGAGGCAGCAGUAAGGAAUUUUCGGCAAUGGAGGAAACUCUGACCGAGCAAUGCCGCGUGAACGAUGAAGUAUUUCGGUACGUAAAGUUCUUUUAUUAGGGAAGAAAAGAUGGUGGAAAAACCAUUAUGACGGUACCUAAUGAAUAAGCCCCGGCUAACUAUGUGCCAGCAGCCGCGGUAAUACAUAGGGGGCAAGCGUUAUCCGGAAUUAUUGGGCGUAARGGGUGCGUAGGCGGUUAAAUAAGUUUAUGGUCUAAGUGCAACGCUCAACGUUGUGAUGCUAUAAAAACUGUUUAGCUAGAGUUGGAUAGAGGCAAGUGGAAUUCCGUGUGUAGUGGUAAAAUGCGUAAAUAUACGGAGGAACACCAGAAGCGAAGGCGGCUUGCUGGGUCUUAACUGACGCUGAGGCACGAAAGCGUGGGGAGCAAACAGGAUUAGAUACCCUGGUAGUCCACGCCCUAAACGAUGAGUACUAAASGUUGGAUAAAACCAGUGUUGGAGUUAACACAUUAAGUACUCCGCCUGAGUAGUACGUACGCAAGUAUGAAACUUAAAGGAAUUGACGGGACUCCGCACAAGCGGUGGAUCAUGUUGUUUAAUUCGAAGGUACCCGAAAAACCUCACCAGGUC